rnacentral:rRNA from 1 species
UACAGAGGCCACGAGCGUUAGGCGGAAUCACUGGGCUUAAAGCGUGUGUAGGUGGAUGGGUAAGUACCUUGUGAAAUCCCACAGCUCAACUGUGGAACUGCUUGGUAUACUGCCUGUCUUGAGGCACUCAGGGGCGAGCGGAACAGAUGGUGGAGCGGUGAAAUGCGUAGAUAUCAUCUGGAACGCCGAAGGUGAAAACAGACUGCUGGGGAUGCGCUGACGCUGAGACACGAAAGCCAGGGGAGCGAACGGG